GUACACGCUGUGACUAGCAUAUCAAUAAGCGGAGGAAAAGAAACUAACAAGGAUUCCCCUAGUAACGGCGAGUGAAGCGGGAAGAGCUCAAAUUUGAAAUCUUAAAGGGUUUCCCUUUACGAAUUGUAGUUUAAAGAAGUGUUUUCUGUUGAGGUUUUGGUAAAAGUUCUUUGGAAUAGGACAUCAUAGAGGGUGAGAAUCCCGUAUUUGACCUUUACUUUCAACUUUGUGAUACACUUUCAAAGAGUCGGAUUGUUUGGGAAUGCAGUCCAAAAUGGGUGGUAAAUUUCAUCUAAAGCUAAAUAUUGGCGAGAGACCGAUAGCGAACAAGUACCGUGAGGGAAAGAUGAAAAGAACUUUGAAAAGAGAGUUAAACAGUACGUGAAAUUGUCAAAAGGGAAGCGUUUGACACCAGUGUUGUUUUUCUGAAAAUCAAUUAAAGAACUGUUUAUGCUAAGCUGUUUAGACUUUAUCAGCUAUCUGUUUAGUUUUGAGCUUUUCUUUAAUGCACCUUUUCAGUUAACAAGUCAACAUCAAUUUCUUUUGCUGUAAAAAGCUUGAGGAGGGUGGCUUGAGAUUCGUCUUAAGUGUUUAUAGCCUCUUGCCUAUGCAGUCGGAGAGAUUGAGGUCUGCAGCGUAGAUCCUUCGGGGCUAAAUGCAUUUGUGCUAAGUUAUAGCAUUUUAUAGACAACCUGUUGACUAUGAUUUGUCUUGUAGCUUACUCGCUUAUGUUAUUUUACCUACGCUUAGGAUGUUGAAGAUGUAGCACAUCAU
rnacentral:rRNA from 1 species